ensembl:lncRNA
CACACACACACACACACACACACACACACACAAACACACACACAUCCCUGCCUAUGAAGGUUCUGAACUCAGACUGGGUUACAAUAACACCAAUGGGAGGAACAGACUCACUUCUUGCCCAGAAACAGAGACUGAUUGUUUAUACUAGAAAUACAAGGAGGUGACUCCGCCUAAUCGGAAGGAUUCAGCACAAUCUGCAGCCAAACUGAAGAGUCCGAAUCAGUGUAACAGGAUCCGGCACAAAACAAGAUCUGACCCCUCUCUCUCCAACUAGCUGACCUGUGUCUGAUGGGGAACAGUGAAAUUUAGACACACACGCGCACACACACACACCUCUUAGCUUUCCAUCAAUGUCGAUGAUGACGAAUGUUCCUCUUGUGGAUCGGGGGUAAGGGUGUGCUAGCACUUUAAAUAGACACACACACACACACACACACACACACACACCUACAAUCACUCUCACUCAGGCAUAAAGAAUGUCAAGAAAUGCCAAAGAUGGACUCGAUGCUCAUUCAGCCAUCCUUUCAAUGUUGUUUUUCAACUUUGAUCAUUUGAACUGCUGGCAUUUUGUAUAUGGACUAUUGUUGCACUUCUAUGUCACACUUUGUUGUUCCUAUGUUGGUCUAGAAAUCUUGUUCCUGUGGGUUAUAGAAUGGAUGGCCAAUCUGUUCUUAAUGUAAUAUGUACACACAUUUCUAAAGGUGCAAUUCAAAAUUCUCUACCCCCGUAAUGACAUGACUAAGUACAAACACAUUCCACCUGACACAAUCACAAAAACAUAGAUUGUUUCUAUGUUGCUUUUUGUUUUAACACAAAAACAAAACAAAACGCUCCACUAAGGGAUAGAUUCAAUCAGUUCUGCCUUAACCCGUAAUAAUCAACAACAUUGUUUUUAUUAAGGCGAUGUCGGAGAUGUAACUGAGGUGGAGCUGUAAAAUCAAAACACGCCUCCCGGCAUUAUAGCUAUUACGGACCCUGCCAUUGGAUGUGUAGUGACACAGUAGUAAUAAUCGCAUGCAGCCUUGUUACGAGCCAUCAAAUCGGUGAGCAGCUGCUCUUGUGAUCAUUGUCAAAAAGCCACAACUGCCCAUCUCACAUUAUAAGUUCAGAACCAGGAAGUGUAGGCUAUAUAGAAAUAAUUACUCUCAAUUGGAAAAAUCAAUAAGCUAAAUAAUGAGGAUGUCUAUCAUCCUAAUCGAGGUGUAGAUUACAACUCACAUUCCAGUGUUCAGAAUAGGGAACGAGGCUGCAUGGCAUUUCUCUCAAUGCUCCACUCCAUGCAGCGAAUGGCAAUGUCUGCUUUAGGUACAAUUUGAUAUUGAGAUAAAAAUGGCUGCAUUGGACCUUUAAAUGUAGCUAUUUGGAGUCUUUGGACCCUUUCCCAAACUUUGAAUAGCAUAAUAUUUGUUUGCUAAAUAAACUUUUAAGUACCUCCUGUAAAUUCUUAGAUUUUUCAAUAGUGAACUGCUGUAUACAGUUUAAGCACAGGAAUUUCACCAGUAUCUGUGGUGAUAAAACACAUGAAAGUUCAGACUGUUGCAACUGCUGCAACCGUUAAUGCACUAUCUUGGAAAAGGGAAGUGAUUUUCCACUAGUGGUGUAAAGUACUUAAGUAUAUUUCAAACCAAAUACUUUUAGACUUUUACUCAAGUAGUAUUUUACUGUGUGACUUUCACUUUUACUUGAGUCAUUUUCUAUUAAGGUAUCUUUACUUUUACUCAAGUAUGUCAAUUGGGUACUUUUUCCACCACUAUUUUCCACUUCAGCCGAUCCUUACAGGGAAAGAGCUUGGGUUAUGUUGUUGGAGGUGAAUUUUACAUAUGUCCUGUUGCAGGAUAACUUUCUUGCAAUUCAGAAAAUGUAAAACUUGUAGUGUAUUUGAGAUUUAAAAAUGGUUUCUGAGGUUUGUUAUCUCCACUUAGAAAUUUCAGACUUGAUUUUCCCGAAAAAUGUAUCAACCCCUACAAAAAUGUCUGUUAAUUAUAAUCCACAUAAUAAUUCACAUUUAAUGUUGCUGCAGGAUUAUUUUCCUGCUGUAGCAAACUGGCUCAAAUUAAGAUCCUACAUCUGUAGCGUCGGAUCUAACUAACUGACCGAAGCCUAAAUGUGUACAUUAGGACUGGGUUUCACCGACUCUUACUGCCUUUUCACCCCCACAACACCCAUACUUCUACAACGGAUAUUAAUAACCAGCUAAUUUAAAAUACCAGUUUGCAGUUAUUAGCACCUAUUGUCAGAGUAGACGUGCUGUUAACUGAGUUGAGGGAGGAAGGCUGCGGAGGGCUAGUGUCCACAAUUGCCCUCAGCUGUGGCCUUUUCCCAGGGAGCACCUGGUAACCUGAAGGAAGGUUAGGUAAACAGCGUAAAAACACUUGCCCUCUGACAUUCACUAAUUUCAGAGUUAUAGAGAGCUUACAUUUUCAGGGAACGUUGUACAUUGAAGAUGUUAUUAAAGAUGCCAAGUGUUAAAUAUUUGCGUCAAGCGUUUCUAACCCAGCUUGAGAAAGGUCAUGUAUACUGCAGCUCAUCCAAAUGGAGAGAGAAAUAUGUCUUAGACACGUCUGCAUACAUCUCCACUUUCAGCUACAUUGCAGUCUUCGACAUGCAGUCUUCUGUGUUGCAUAUCUCUCCUCUUGUUCAUCUGUAUCUCACAUCGCUCUCUUUCUCUCCUUUGGGGGUCUCAAUCGUAACUGUUUCACACAGUUAGUAAUACAGAAGUUUGGGCUGGUAGAAGUGAGAAAUGGAGUGGGGACCAUAGGGCCAGAUUCACUAAUCAUUGCAGAAAGUUUACACCUUUUAUUUUGUUGAACGAAAGAUGAAAUAAAGGGAGGUGCAACAAGUGCAAAAACUUUGGGUAAAUUUGGCCCUGAUUGGUUGGGUUUGGCUUCAUUUUGGAGGCUUUGCAGAUAUAAUUUGCAGAGGCUCCUCUUGCAGAUUUAUCUCAUGGGGAGCAGCUGGAGAUGUAGAAGAGAUGAUUAUAGAGAAAGAGAGAGAGAGUGAAAAAUAGGGAGAGAGGGGUAGAGAGAGGGUGGUAUAGAGUGUCAAAAAGGAGGGGAAGAAAGAGGAGGUAGAUACAGGAGAGAGAGAGAGAAAGAGAGAGAGACGGUGGUAGCUUCAGAGUGUCAGUCAACUGCCAGGGAAGUGCCAGGGAAGGUCACAUUACACUGACUCUGGGAGUGCAGGGUUUUAAAUAGAGUGGCUAUUUUGGGGGCUACAUGUUCA